CACAGGGCAGCGUCUCUUUGGCGGCACAUGGUUAGCCGAGCCCGUCAGCAAGGCCUCUGCUCUCACCGCCUAUUUCUACCUGGUUUGGAGAGUGGGAGACUCAGUCACAGAGACAGAGAGAGUGCUAAGCGGCGGGCGGGGGGCUCCUCCCGGAGAUCACCGGCGGCCUGCUCGCCUGUGAGUACGUGCAGCGGCCCGAAGAGGCGCGUGCUCGCAGGGGGAGGCGCCGGAUCUCGCGGGACAAGUGCGUCCACAGCGUGAGGUACCUUGUAUGGGAUGAAGUGAAGGCUGUUUUAUUAAUCAAUCAUCUUAUUAUGUGCACAAUAAGCUUUUGCUAUGCUUUCACCGUUGAUGCCCACUGGUUGGAUCAUGCUUCUGUUUACGAGCUCAUUGAAGUAAAUCUCUCCUAGCUCAAAUUGGGCCAAUUUCUCGUUUGCACUAUAUAUAAAACCUUCAGCUAUCCAUCUCCAUAUCAGUCCGUCUCUCUGAAUUUUGUAAUCUUUUGGAAAUAUGCUUAAAGAUCCUCGAACGUAAGUACGAGCCACACAUGCUGCACCAAUACUAUGAAAAGUAGCAUUAAAUGAGUAAAACAGGCUCUUGACUUUUAGAUUAUGCAAGUGCUUUGAUCUACAAGUCAACCCUUUUUUACUAACUACUAGUAGCUUUGAUCUGCCUUCUUAUCUAUAGGAUUAGUUAUUAUGUCUAACUAUGUUUUUAGAAGAUUAAGCAAGCUUAUUCGAUAUGUAAAUGGAUAGUUUGAGGUUUUAUUUAUAAUGAUAAACAAGGGAUUAGCAAGUUUGAGCUCGGUGAUAGAAUUACUCAAUGAGAUCCUAAAUAGAAGCAUGGUUCAACCAAUUGACAUCAAUGUUGAUAAAGGCAUGGAAAAAUCUUAUCGUAUACAUGAUAUGGUGAUUGAUUCCAUAUGUUUUUGCCAAGUGAAGAAAAACCAUUUGCAUGGCACUCAGUCAAAGGCAAGAUUUGAAGAUUAAACAUUCCAAAGAGCAUGACAGGUUUGAAGAUUAAACAUUCCAAAGAGCAUGACAGGUAGCAUCGAUGCCACAAGUGAGGUUUGUUGCAAUUGUUGAUUCAGUGUAGCUUAUAUCAAGUGUUCCAAGUUCUACAUGUGUUGGAUUUAGAAUAUUGUGCUGGAUGCCUCCAUUCUUGCCAUUCAUAAUGAUUUAAGAGCACUGAAUUUGUCUUGGUGUUUUGAUUUGUUUUCCUUCUGCAACGACAUGAAGCUCUCAUUUUAUUUGUACCCACUUGUGCUGAAAUAUGUUGUCACUUUGCUCCUGCAAUUGACUGAUGAUUAACUUGUUUUCCCAUUUAUUUAUCUUGUAAGGAUUCUUGCUGGUUAAUCUGCCUGAUUUUAGCUGUCCAUUGCGUCUCUUAUAUUUAUAACAGCUUUCAGUGUCGUUUUACUCUACACUGGAAUGAAAUUUUAGGUCAUUCAGUUUGUGCAAUGUUCUGAGAUUUCACCUUUUAGGUCAUUAAUUUUGUUUAUGGCCCUCUAUGUGACACAUUUGUUUGAAUUUGACUGCACAAAUGUGGCAGUGCUACUAGCCUGAAUUGGUGCCUAUGAUUUUUAGAUGUAAAAUGGUUUGGAUAAGCAGGCAAUACGAUAACCUUUUAUAGCUUACAGUUAUAACGUCUUAACUGUUACUCUUUUGGCUUUCUGACUGCAGCAGGAAUGGCACAAUUGAGGGCAUUGUCCAUUUAAUGCCUGUUUCUGUUGAGUGUUCAAUGGUUUAAGUUCUCCUCUUCUUGGAUUUAGUUUGGAUAUAUGCUUCCAUUCUUGUCAACUGAGACGGCCUGAGAACACUGCAUUUGCCUUGGUGUUUUGAUUUGUCUUUCUUCUGCAACACAGACAUGAGAGUUCUCAUUGAGAUUCUACCCACUUACUCAGCAGUGCCUGCUGUACUUUGCUCAUGAAGGACUUCUUUUCUCCAUUUCUCUGUUAUGUAAGGAGGAGUAUAUAAGUAAGGUGUACUGCUGGGCUUGGACUAUGUCUUUCUGUUUCCAGCAGCUUGUCGAGUCAGUUUUACUCAAUACUUUUGGACUGAAAUUUAAGUCGUUCAGUUUAUACAACAUAUUGUACACCUUUUAUUUGUAGAUGUUGCUAUUGCCUUGCUUCUUCCGCAGUUUUCUUCUCUUCUUUUGUGUGGAUUGCAGCUAGCAAAAUGUAAAGUUCAUGGUGGGUCGGUUUGGAGGGUUCAUAUUUCACAAUUGUUAUUGUGUGGUUCACCCUAGAAUUUGAGUUUAACGCAUACUUGUGCAAUUUUGGUUAGGAGUAUCAUGCUUGUUUUUAUAUGUAAUUGCUAUGUUUUGAGGCUACUUAUUUUAUUUAACCCAUUAUUUGCCAUUUGAAAAUAAUGUUGGCAUCGACAGUUCCUAAUUACAAAUGCUUAUCACUGGUUACCGCCUAAUGCUUGCUUGGUUUUCGGUGUGAUUUCAGCUUCGUUUAUAUUUGUGAAACAAUAGUACAUCCAAAAGGAGAAGUUGUUGAGGCGACUAGUCAUGACUAGUCGAGACUAGUCGCGCGAGUCGCUCGACUCAUCCCAGGAGUCGAGUCGAGAGGCUGAGUCGGCCCUGGAACUGCGACUCGUGGUCGACGACGAUGACUAGUCGAGCGACUCGAAAUCCAUGGUUACCGCCUAUGCUUGCUUGGUUUUUGGUGUGAUUUCAGCUUCAUUUAUAUUUGUGUAUAUAUGCACCACCCAUGUUUUGUGAAACAAUAGUAACAAGACGCGGUGCUUGAAACUCAUGAGUAACAAGACAACGAAAAACCAUGACAGCCUAUAACACAGGCGAAGUAGUUGAGCUGAUAGUCAUGACAGCCUAUAACACAGGCGCGGUGCUUGAAACUCAUGAGUAACAAGACAACGAAAAACCAUGCUAAAGCUGGAGGGAUUCAUAGAAAAUGCAUAGGAAAAAAAUCCCUGAGAAAUCUACCUUCGCUACAUUUUGGAGUGUAUGGAAACAUCGGCCAUAUGGGUCCACCAAGUAGAGAACAUAAAUAUCCCCUGCUGUUUCUACUUUCAUCUGCUAGUUUUGAUGUUGUUUUGGAUAAUAGAUAACCUAGGCUUUGUAUCUGGUAGCAUUUAUUAGAGAUUCAGUCUAAUGUACUUCGCUGUAGCGGUGCUGCCAUGAAGUUCGGUUUAUAAACCUCUGUUGUGUAAACAUACUGUUGAUCUGCUGAACUAAAAUUAUGACCCUGUUUACCUGUGGUGGUGCACUUCACAACAAUUUUACUUGUUCUUUCAUAGUUCUACUCCUAUCGUAUAAAUGUUGAUGUCAUAACACUAGCUGCUGGCACCGUGGCACGCCUAUCUCUGGCUCAUGGAUGUAAAGGUCUACAUGUACAUCUCUGAAAAUACAAUUUAUAUUUCUUCCUGGAAAAUUUCCAUUGUUCUGUUCA